rnacentral:misc_RNA from 1 species
AAACAACGCAACUCAUCUCCACCGUUUUCCACGUUUCUCUCCAAAUUGCUGACAAUUCUUGGAUGUGAUUUUCAUUUUCAUUCAAUUUCUCCAAACCCUAACCCUACAAUCAAUCCUUCCUUCCCAAACCAGAAAAAUUCUGCAAAUGGAAAACGUCUCUUACUCUUCUUAUCCUGAUUCCGGCGACUCGUCUCCUCGCUCUCGCGAUAUCGACGAGAGCCAGUCGUGGGACGAGCUUCCGUCCAAUUACAAAAUCAAAUUAAUAUGUAGUUAUGGAGGUAAAAUCCAGCCGAGACACCACGAUAACCAACUCGCUUAUAUGGGUGGUGAUACGAAGAUUCUCUCCGUCGAACGCAAUGUCAAGUUCUCGGUGAUUAUGAACAGGCUUACUUCUCUCUGUGGCGAUGCUGAUAUAUGCUUCAAGUAUCAGCUACCUGGUGAGGAUCUUGAUGCUUUGAUUUCUGUCACCAACGAUGAGGAUCUCGAGCACAUGAUGCUCGAGUAUGAUAGGUUGUAUCGCGCGUCGGCUAAGCCCGCGAGGUUGAGGCUAUUUCUGUUUCAUUUGAAUCCUUCGAGUUUUGGAUCUGAUGAAGUGAAGUCGGAGCGGCUUUGGUUUGUGGACGCUUUGAAUUUUGUGCCAGUGCAGAAUCAAGAAGUUUCUUCGCCUCCUGCGGCAGCGGUGGCGGCAACAGUGACGGCUGGGAAUCCAGACUUUCUCUUCGGGUUGGAAAAGGGGGCUGUUCCCGUCGCGAAAUUCAUGGAUACAGCGCCGCCACCGCCGACGGUGGCCGUUGGGAACGAUGUUUCCGCUGGAUCCGAGUGUGGAUCGGAGGAUCGGCACGUAAUUGGUGAUACGGUAAUUAAUCAACUGAACCCAGAUUUGCAAAAAUUGCAAAUAUCUGCUGCUCAGGAGCAGUCUAGAAAAAUUGAGGAGGCAAACUCUAGGGGUUAUGCUGUCGAGUACUGCGCUCAACAAGUUAAUGAAAAAAUUCCUCCCCAACCGUCACAGGUUGCGAUGCCGGUACUCAUUCCUGUUCCCGCCACCUACUUGCCGGAAAGGCACAUGAACGCUAGUGGUUAUACUAUUACUGUCCCUGGAACUGAGCAUACAGUUUAUCAAAUUCCUAUGGCGGCUGCUAUGUACCAAGCACCAGCAUUAAGAACGGUGACCGGACAAGUGGGUCAGGGAUAUUAUGGACUGCAGAGGGUUGUACAGGAAGUUUACAGAGAGCAGCCACUGUACAAUGCGGUACCGCCAACAACAACAGUACCUUCACUCCCACCACAACAACAAUCGCCAAUGGUAGGGGUUUACACCGAAGGGAUUGGAAUUGGACAGGCUAAAGUUGGAGUAGCCGAGCAGGGAUAUGUGCAGGUUGGUUACGACACUGCAGGGAGGCAGGUUUAUUAUACUACUACCCCAUAUCAGGCAGUUGCAGCAGAUAAUAGCGCAUUGAAUCAAGAUGGUAAGGUUCAGGUUGUUGGUGCCAAUGCAAAGGGUCCGCAAGUUUCAUCUAUGUGAUUUUUGGUUUAUAAAUUAUUGAUUAGACCGAAGAGUUUAUUACAAGAAUAAGGAAAUGAUUCUGCAAAGCUUUCGUGUGGUGGAUAUUGCUAUGCUAUGGAAAACUAACUUUGAGGUGUUGGUUUGAGAUCGUUUAAUAUGUACAUGGGGAUGGGGGAACACUGUUAAUGUAAAUUCUGAUGAUGAUUUAUUUCCGAUUAGAUUAUUGCACUUGACAGGACUUUCUUCUAGUUGCUAAAUCAGGGUUUAGGGGGAUCCGUUAAUUUUGAGCUUUUAUGGUCCAUCAGUUGUUUUAAAUCCCAGUUGCAUAGGGACAAGAACCAUGUGGUAGAGCACAAAUAGCUAGCAGCGGCCAGCGUGGUAAACGCUCCCCUUACACUUUGCUGCUUAUUUAAUAUUAAUAUCACGCUAAUGACACCUAUUUAAAAUUUCCCCCCACUUUGAGUAUACAGAAGAUUCAAAACUCAACUUAAAAAACAAAACGUAAUAGGGUAGUUUUAUGUUUAUUAAAAGGUGAUAAACAACACAUAACUUAAGACUUUAACUACUCCAGCUAAUCUUAUUCGUGUAGGCUAGCUUAAAGUUAGAGCUUAAUGAAAUAUAUGAUGUCAUGCAGAACGAUCCUAUUUUGUGUUACAGCCACCAUGACACCCACCACAACCACCACCUUUACAGCCCCCUCCCCCACAACUACUGCAGCCUCCGCAAGAACCGCAACCGCUGCCCUUCACUGCAACUCCUGCAUGGCAAUUGGUAUUACAUGAGACAACUUGGCGGGAACACAUUGUGCAGCUUAUCGUCGUUGCUUCAGACCCAUUGCCACAUUCUCUGUUGGACGUGCUAUCCUCGGUAACUUCAAUGGCCUCUUCAAUAGACUCCCAACCAAUUUCACACUCCAUUUUUGAGAUCACUACUUGCUUUGAGGCAUCAUCCACUUCAAUAGGACUGUCCAUGUUGGCAAUGAGAUCACAAUCACAAUCCUUCCUCAAAGUAUUAGAAAGUAAAAAGGCCAACAGUAUCCCGGGAACUACUAGCCAUUCUUCAUUGAUCUGUUCAGCAAAGUAUUAGAAUCAAGUGCCAACAGAUGAGCCUAUAACCUUGUAAAACUGUGUUCUUGACAAAUACCAUACCUGCCGAACGCCAGACUUCAAAUUGAAUAAUGCCACAGCUUUUCCAUAAGGAUAUUCUGCAGAGAAUUCAACAGCUUUCAUCAAGCUCUCUGCACUUUUAUGUUUCUCACAGCUUCCAUUUUCAUACUUCAGUUUUCUACCAGGUAAAAUAACCACCUGGAGGAGGAAAACAAACUAAAAUCAUCAAGCUGCACUCAGAACAGAGAUUUUAAGAUGGAAUUGCAUUAUUCCCAUGUGUUUUUCCAGGAAGAUUCCAGGUCUGAACUGGUCAGCAUUUCAUCCAAGCAUCUGUUGUUAAGGUGGCUUGAAAUAUAUCCUCACCUUCCGGAAACCUGUAAGCUCAUAGAUGCAACCAACAUUGUUGAGUUCAUCCUGAAGCUGAAACCGCCAGCUGGAGUUUAGCAGAGACCAUCCUGUUCCAGAAAACUCUGCAAGUACGUGAGUUUCACCGGAAGUUGUCAUGCCAACAACUUCCUUUUCGAAACAGUAGCCAUCUUUUGCCUCCACUUUCAUUGAAUCCCUGAUAAUAAACCAAAUAUUGGUGAAUCCAGUCCAUCAAAAUGUCUCAUCAUAUGCAGAAUUCCAUGCAGUAAUGAGAAGUAUAGAGAGAUAAUUAACAAAAUGACAGACUAAAACAAGAAUGUAGCGAGCUUAGUGGCAGUUAGACCAACAACUAGUCACUAGUACUUCUAUUAUGGAAAUGGGUCACUAGGGACCAAUCUCAACAUUGAGACAAGCUAUGCUGUUCAUCA